AGUGAACGCUGGCGGUAGGCCUAACACAUGCAAGUCGAACGGCAGCACAGUAAGAGCUUGCUCUUACGGGUGGCGAGUGGCGGACGGGUGAGGAAUACAUCGGAAUCUACUUUUUCGUGGGGGAUAACGUAGGGAAACUUACGCUAAUACCGCAUACGACCUACGGGUGAAAGCAGGGGAUCUUCGGACCUUGCGCGAUUGAAUGAGCCGAUGUCGGAUUAGCUAGUUGGCGGGGUAAAGGCCCACCAAGGCGACGAUACGUAGCUGGUCUGAGAGGAUGAGCAGCCACACUGGAACUGAGACACGGUCCAGACUCCUACGGGAGGCAGCAGUGGGGAAUAUUGGACAAUGGGCGCAAGCCUGAUCAAGCCAUACCGCGUGGGUGAAGAAGGCCUUCGGGUUGUAAAGCCCUUUUGUUGGGAAAGAAAAGCAGCAGGUUAAUACCCCGCUGUUCUGACGGUACCCAAAGAAUAAGCACCGGCUAACUUCGUG
rnacentral:rRNA from 1 species